rnacentral:rRNA from 1 species
UAGGGAAUCUUCCGCAAUGGGCGAAAGCCUGACGGAGCAACGCCGCGUGAGUGAUGAAGGUCUUCGGAUCGUAAAACUCUGUUAUUAGGGAAGAACAAAUGUGUAAGUAACUAUGCACGUCUUGACGGUACCUAAUCAGAAAGCCACGGCUAACUACGUGCCAGCAGCCGCGGUAAUACGUAGGUGGCAAGCGUUAUCCGGAAUUAUUGGGCGUAAAGCGCGCGUAGGCGGUUUUUUAAGUCUGAUGUGAAAGCCCACGGCUCAACCGUGUAGGGUCAUUGGAAACUGGAAAACUUGAGUGCAGAAGAGGAAAGUGGAAGUCCAUGUGUAGCGGUGAAAUGCGCAGAGAUAUGGAGGAACACCAGGGGCGAAGGCGACUUUCUGGUCUGAAACUGACGCUGAUGUGCGAAAGCGUGGGGAUCAAACAGG